rnacentral:misc_RNA from 1 species
AUGAUGCCCUCGACGCCUUUACCGGCUGGUAGGGUUGUGCCGGUCUCUUUGGAGCUGGCCUCAUCUCACACACCGUGAACUGUGGCUUCGGCCAUUUACACAAACUGUUAGUAAUGAAUGUAAUAUCAUAACAAACAUA